rnacentral:rRNA from 1 species
ACAAGAGGACAACAGUUGGAAACGACUGCUAAUACUCUAUACUCCUGCUUAACACAAGUUGAGUAGGGAAAGUUUUUCGGUGUAGGAUGAGACUAUAUAGUAUCAGCUAGUUGGUAAGGUAAUGGCUUACCAAGGCUAUGACGCUUAACUGGUCUGAGAGGAUGAUCAGUCACACUGGAACUGAGACACGGUCCAGACUCCUACGGGAGGCAGCAGUAGGGAAUAUUGCGCAAUGGGGGAAACCCUGACGCAGCAACGCCGCGUGGAGGAUGACACUUUUCGGAGCGUAAACUCCUUUUCUUAGGGAAGAAUUCUGACGGUACCUAAGGAAUAAGCACCGGCUAACUCCGUGCCAGCAGCCGCGGUAAUACGGAGGGUGCAAGCGUUACUCGGAAUCACUGGGCGUAAAGGGCGCGUAGGCGGAUUAUCAAGUCUCUUGUGAAAUCUAAUGGCUUAACCAUUAAACUGCUUGGGAAACUGAUAGUCUAGAGUGAGGGAGAGGCAGAUGGAAUUGGUGGUGUAGGGGUAAAAUCCGUAGAUAUCACCAAGAAUACCCAUUGCGAAGGCGAUCUGCUGGAACUCAACUGACGCUAAGGCGCGAAAGCGUGGGGAGCAAACAGGAUUAGAUACCCUGGUAGUCCACGCCCUAAACGAUGUACACUAGUUGUUGGGGUGCUAGUCAUCUCAGUAAUGCAGCUAACGCAUUAAGUGUACCGCCUGGGGAGUACGGUCGCAAGAUUAAAACUCAAAGGAAUAGACGGGGACCCGCACAAGCGGUGGAGCAUGUGGUUUAAUUCGAAGAUACGCGAAGAACCUUACCUGGGCUUGAUAUCCUAAGAACCUUUUAGAGAUAAGAGGGUGCUAGCUUGCUAGAACUUAGAGACAGGUGCUGCACGGCUGUCGUCAGCUCGUGUCGUGAGAUGUUGGGUUAAGUCCCGCAACGAGCGCAACCCACGUAUUUAGUUGCUAACGGUUCGGCCGAGCACUCUAAAUAGACUGCCUUCGUAAGGAGGAGGAAGGUGUGGACGACGUCAAGUCAUCAUGGCCCUUAUGCCCAGGGCGACACACGUGCUACAAUGGCAUAUACAAUGAGACGCAAUACCGCGAGGUGGAGCAAAUCUAUAAAAUAUGUCCCAGUUCGGAUUGUUCUCUGCAACUCGAGAGCAUGAAGCCGGAAUCGCUAGUAAUCGUAGAUCAGCCAUGCUACGGUGAAUACGUUCCCGGGUCUUGUACUCACCGCCCGUCACACCAUGGGAGUUGAUUUCACUCGAAGCCGGAAUACUAAACUAGUUACCGUCCACAGUGGAAUCAGCGACUGGGGUGAAGUCGUAACAAGGUAACCGUAGGAGAACCUGCGGUUGGAUCACCUCCUUUCUA